CAGUCGUACCUUCGGGUAAUCAGCCUUUCGGGUGCGAUUCUGUGGAGUGUGAGGAGCUUAACACCUUCAUGCUUUGCAUAUUUGUGCUCUUGGGUGUACUUGCCCGUGUGGUUGGUUAACAUCAAUUUUGGUUAUCAUAAAAUGAUUGGAGGAAUGUAGCUUCGAUCUCGUAUUGAAGUGUUAUAGCCUUCGGUAGAUGUGAUGAACGAGAUUGAGGAUUGCAACGGAUACCCUUUGGGGCUACCUGUCUGGUCUCUGAUCGUUGCUCUGGUGCCGAAAGCUUGCUUACGGUUAUCAAAGUCGAUGGUCAAUAGGUUAGAACGGGUUAAA
rnacentral:rRNA from 1 species